AUUGAACGCUGGCGGCAUGCCUUACACAUGCAAGUCGAACGGCAGCGGACCUUCGGGUGCCGGCGAGUGGCGAACGGGUGAGUAAUGCAUCGGAACGUACCUUUCAGUGGGGGACAACGUAGCGAAAGUUACGCUAAUACCGCAUAUUCUGUGAGCAGGAAAGCAGGGGAUCGCAAGACCUUGCGCUGAUUGAGCGGCCGAUGUCAGAUUAGCUAGUUGGUGAGGUAAAGGCUCACCAAGGCGACGAUCUGUAGCGGGUCUGAGAGGAUGAUCCGCCACACUGGGACUGAGACACGGCCCAGACUCCUACGGGAGGCAGCAGUGGGGAAUUUUGGACAAUGGGGGCAACCCUGAUCCAGCCAUGCCGCGCGAGUGAGGAAGGCCUUCGGGUUGUAAAGCUCUUUCGGCCGGGAAGAAAUCGCACAGGCUAAUACCUUGUGUGGAUGACGGUACCGGAAUAAGAAGCACCGGCUAACUACGUGCCAGCCGCCGCCGUAAUAC
rnacentral:rRNA from 1 species